CAGUCCGCUCCGUGAGGACAGCCGGGACCCCGUGGGGCAGUCCGCUCCGUGAGGACAGCCGGGACCCCGUGGGGCAGUCCGCUCCGUAAGGACAGCCUGGGACCCCGUGGGGCAGUUCUACUCUGUCCUGCAAGGUCCCUAUGAGUCGGAAUUGACUCGAUGGCAACAGGUUAAGUACUUAGUUCAGUUUGUUGAAUAGAAAAUGUUCUCAGGGAACUUUGUGGUUUAUUGUUUUGUUCGCCCCCAGAUCAGAGCCCUGAACCUCUCUGGUAUUCUAGUUGGUGUUUCUCACCAUGCCAGUCCUGUGUCCAGAUCUGUUUUCUAUUGUCAUUAUGUCUGACGCUUGAUCCUUUGGUUUCUAAUUCUCAUAUCUUCUUCCAUUUUUAUGCUUUGUGGCUCUUCCCGUCUACUCUCCACGCUUCAGACCUAGAGUCGCUUCUGUCUCCAGUCUGAGCGUGGAGUCUUGCUUCUGCGCUGUCAGCACCAUCCUCGUUCUAUGAAGUGAGCAUGUAGAACUUCAGUCGGUGGAACAAAUUUGCUUACUGAUUAAAUUUGAAUCUUAAUUCCCAAAACUCUCCUAUAUUAUCUGACUGACCCUUUUCUGCCAUUCUAUUCUUAUUGUAUGUGUGCAAUUGUUUCUCUUAUCUUUCUGCAGGUGUUAAUCAUAGAUGUUUUUAAGGUUUCUUCUUCCUGUAUUUUCUCCAUUUGUCUCUGUAUUUGGGUUCAUUCUGGAAGUGGCUCACUAAGCUAUGAGUCACUAACACACAGCAGCUCAUAAAGAUUCAGUGAACUGUGUUGAACUGAACUGAAUUAGAAAAGAAUGCCACUGUUAUAAUAUCACUGUAGAAAACUGUGGAUUUCAAGAUAUUCUGGGUCUUCUAGUUCCUUACAACAUAUUUAUCUUCAGUGCCUUCCAUUUCUCUUCUGUUGUUGCUGUAUGUUAUGAAGUCAACUCUGACUUAUAGCGGUCUCAUGUGACAGAGUAGAACUGCCCCACAGGGUUUCCAAGGCUGUUAUCUUUACGGAGGCAGACUGCCACGUCUUCCUCCCGUGGGGCCACUGGUGGGUUCGAAUCAAAGACCUUUUGGUUUAAUAACAAAGCACUUAACCACUGUGCUACCAGGGCUCCUAUUUCUCUUCUACUAUAAUUACAGUAAAAUAAUUGAAAGAUAGGAAAUUAAACACACACACACACAAAGCCAUUGGAGCAUUGCAAGUAUUAGCAUAUGUGUCUGUAGAGGAAAUAGCUUUAAGAAACUUAUCACAUUAUUCCCUAAACUCAGGAAGAUUCAGAAAUUGGAAACAUUGUAUCAUACAGAAGGCAGAUGUCAGACUGAAGGGAGGUGAUAGUCUAAAAACAGGUCUACCCCACCUUCCUGCAUAGCCAGGCAAUAUGCCUCCCCAAUUCCCUCAGAAGGGAGAAGGUUUAUUUGUGAAGAAUCUGAACCACAAGGGCUGUGCCCUCAGGUACAGCAGGAAGGAGGAGAAAAGCUCGUCACUGAAAACAGAGGAAUGAAGUGCAAAUCUGCCUAGUGAACAGUGAGAACCACGUGUCCCAGAUGCCGGCAGCCGGGCACAUAAUACGUGGGCACAAGAUUGGAGAUUCUUCUCUGGGGAAGCAAAAUGGCCUCAAAGGAAAGACCAAAGAUGUUGGCAUUUAUGGAUUAUCUAAUGAAUAAUCUCUUUUACUUCCCUAUCACCCUAUGGUGAAGCCCUCCUUUUGGCUAGUCCCCUCCGUAAUUGCAGAAACCCCAUCAGUUGUUUUGUGCCUCAUUCAAAUAUAAACAGACAGAACCGAACAAAAAAAAUAACAUGAAGAAGGAAACUUAAAAA